rnacentral:tRNA from 2 species
CCUUCGAUAGCUCAGUUGGUAGAGCGGUGGACUGUAGAGUUUGAGUGUGAGUCACACCAAAGUAGUAAUCCAUAGGUCGCUGGUUCAAAUCCGGCUCGAAGGA